CCUACGGGAGGCAGCAGUGGGGAAUAUUGCACAAUGGGCGAAAGCCUGAUGCAGCAACGCCGCGUGAGCGAUGAAAGCCUUCGGGUCUUAAAGCUCUGUCCUCAAGGAAGAUAAUGACGGUACUUGAGGAAGAAGCCCCGGCUAACUACGUGCCAGCAGCCGCGGUAAUACGUAGGGGGAUAGCGUUAUCCGGAAUUACUGGGCGUAAAGGGUGCGUAGGUGGUUUCUUAAGUCAGAGGUGAAAGGCUACGGCUCAACCGUAGUAAGCGUGUGAAACUGGGAAACUUGAGUGCAGGAGAGGAGAGUGGAAUUCCUAGUGUAGCGGUGAAAUGCGUAGAUAUUAGGAGGAACACCAGUUGCGAAGGCGGCUCUCUGGACUGUAACUGACACUGAGGCACGAAAGCGUGGGGAGCAAACAGGAUUAGAUACCCGGGUAGUC
rnacentral:rRNA from 1 species